rnacentral:hammerhead_ribozyme from 1 species
AUCUAAUUGACGAGUCCCAAAUAGGACGGAACGCGAGUCCUGGAU